AAGUAAUCAACAUAUUUAACCCUAGAUAUGGAAAAAAGUAUAGGGUCCGCCGCCGGACUCCGGAGACAAAUCUGGCCGGUUCAGGCCGUUUUUUCCGGCAAGCCACUCCACACAACCCCCAACCCUCCUUCUUCCUAUACUGCACACACACAACUCAGAACCACGAUGAGAGAGAGAUCGACCGGCAGGAGAACGGGAGAGAGAAAGAGAACAACGGGAGAGAUGAGAGGGAGAAAGAGGGGGUCGCGCGGCGCCAGCGGCGAUUGACGGCGAAGCCGUUAGUUCAGUGAGAAUCAACAUCAACGACAUAUAAUGGAAGCUUCAAGCAAUGCUAACCUAAUAAUAGUUUCGAAUAUUCAUCAGCAUGCCCAUUAACCACUCCUAGUGGAAGAAUGGAAGGUGACUAUGAAUGAAGCAUAUUGAUAAGGUAGGGUCAAGAACGUUUAACGUGGAAGGUGACUAUUAUUGUUUAAUUGAGGUUCUGAAGAUUGUUAUGAGUUUGAUUAUUGAAAAAAAAAAAAGUUUGCAAUUUUUAAUUGUUUGAUGUUGAAAAUUAUUAUUGUUUUGAUUGAAGUUCUGAAGAUUGUUAUAAGGUUCUGAAGAUUGUUAUUAUUGUUAAGUUGUUUAGCGUUUUUUGGAGUUCAAUUUUUUUG